UGGGGAAUAUUGGACAAUGGGCGAAAGCCUGAUCCAGCCAUGCCGCGUGUGUGAAGAAGGUCUUCGGAUUGUAAAGCACUUUAAGUUGGGAGGAAGGGCAUUAACCUAAUACGUUAGUGUUUUGACGUUACCGACAGAAUAAGCACCGGCUAACUCUGUGCCAGCAGCCGCGGUAAUACAGAGGGUGCAAGCGUUAAUCGGAAUUACUGGGCGUAAAGCGCGCAUAGGUGGUUUGUUAAGUUGGAUGUGAAAUCCCCGGGCUCAACCUGGGAACUGCAUUCAAAACUGACUGACUAGAGUAUGGUAGAGGGUGGUGGAAUUUCCUGUGUAGCGGUGAAAUGCGUAGAUAUAGGAAGGAACACCAGUGGCGAAGGCGACCACCUGGACUAAUACUGACACUGAGGUGCGAAAGCGUGGGGAGCAAACA
rnacentral:rRNA from 1 species